UACGUAGGGAGCAAGCGUUGUCCGGAAUCAUUGGGCGUAAAGCGCGCGUAGGCGGCCCUGUAAGUCCGCUGUGAAAGUCAAAGGCUCAACCUUUGAAAGCCGGUGGAUACUGCAGGGCUAGAGUCCGGAAGAGGCGAGUGGAAUUCCUGGUGUAGCGGUGGAAUGCGCAGAUAUCGUAAGGAAGACCAGUGGCGAAGGCGGGUCUCUGGACAGUUCCUGACACUGAGGCACGAAGGCCAGGGGAGCAAACGGG
rnacentral:rRNA from 1 species